rnacentral:rRNA from 1 species
AACGAACGCUGGCGGCAGGCCUAACACAUGCAAGUCGAGCGCCCUUUCGGGGGAGCGGCGGACGGGUGAGUAACGCGUGGGAAUAUGCCCUUCUCUACGGAAUAGCCUCGGGAAACUGAGAGUAAUACCGUAUACGCCCUAUGGGGGAAAGAUUUAUCGGGGAAGGAUUAGCCCGCGUUGGAUUAGGUAGUUGGUGGGGUAAUGGCCUACCAAGCCGACGAUCCAUAGCUGGUUUGAGAGGAUGAUCAGCCACACUGGGACUGAGACACGGCCCAGACUCCUACGGGAGGCAGCAGUGGGGAAUCUUAGAAAAUGGGGGCAAACCUAAUCAAGCCAUGCCGCGGGAGUGAUGAAGGCCUUAGGGUUGUAAAGCUCUUUCAGCUGGGAAGAUAAUGACGGUACCAGCAGAAGAAGCCCCGGCUAACUCCGUG